GCUUAGUUGGUAGAACAUGGGACUCUCAAUCUUAAAAUUGUGAGUUUGAGCCCCACACUAGGCA
rnacentral:tRNA from 1 species